rnacentral:rRNA from 1 species
UACGUAGGGUGCGAGCGUUAAUCGGAAUUACUGGGCGUAAAGCGUGCGCAGGCGGUUUUGUAAGCCAGAUGUGAAAUCCCCGGGCUUAACCUGGGAAUGGCAUUUGGGACUGCAAGGCUCGAGUGCGGCAGAGGAGACUGGAAUUCCUGGUGUAGCAGUGAAAUGCGCAGAUAUCAGGAGGAACACCGGUGGCGAAGGCGGUUCUCUGGGCCUUACCUGACGCUGAGGAGCGAAAGCGUGGGGAGCAAACAGG